GACGAACGCUGGCGGCGUGCCUAAUACAUGCAAGUAGAACGCUGAAGAGAGGAGCUUACUCUUCUUGGAUGAGUUGCGAACGGGUGAGUAACGCGUAGGUAACCUGCCUUGUAGCGGGGGAUAACUAUUGGAAACGAUAGCUAAUACCGCAUAACAAUGGAUGACACAUGUCAUUUAUUUGAAAGGGGCAAUUGCUCCACUACAAGAUGGACCUGCGUUGUAUUAGCUAGUAGGUGAGGUAAUGGCUCACCUAGGCGACGAUACAUAGCCGACCUGAGAGGAUGAUCGGCCACACUGGGACGGAGACACGGCCCAGCCUCCUGCGGGAGGCAGCAGUAGGGAAUCUUCGGCAAUGGGGGCAACCCUGACCGAGCAACGCCGCGUGAGUGAAGAAGGUUUUCGGAUCGUAAAGCUCUGUUGUAAGUCAAGAACGGGUGUGAGAGUGGAAAGUUCACACUGUGACGGUAGCUUACCAGAAAGGGACGGCUAACUACGUG
rnacentral:rRNA from 1 species